GGGGUGUCAAUGCGGAAAAACAAGAGCCCCAAAACCCAGUAGGACGAGGUUAAGCAGGAUCCUUGCUCAAUCCACCCUUUCCCCUCCUGCAGCCGAGGUCUGCCAGCGCUGCACCGGGUCCGCUUGGCGCAGAGCCGUGCAAACACGCCGCCCCUGAGCAGCGAGGCAGAGGACCUUUGCUCCUUGGCGAAUCCUCCCCCCCCCCCCCCCCCCCCGCUGUUUUUAAGCCCUUUUACUGACGCGCCGUCAAGUCCCUGCCUGUCCCGGUGCUGCAGGCAGGCUCUGCCCCGCUCCCGGGGAGGCUCGGCAUCGCAGGCAGCCUGCCAAGCCUUGCAAAACAGCAGCCUCAAAGCAGCCCCGCGACAUUUCAAAUCUGGCUCGUCCUCUGUGGGCUGAGUCAGGGCGGCAGCGGCUGCUUUUCCGACUGGGAAAUACGACGGGUCCUGGCAUGAUGCCUGGCUGCCGCCAGAACCCAUCUCCUCCUCCUCCUCCUCCUCCUCCUCCCCAUGCAGCCACGGCCGAGUCUGCCCCCGCAGUGGGAUGUCUCCCCACCCCGCAUCCCUCCCCGGCUGGGGGAAUUGUGCAAUCUCCCAUCCCAAAUCCUCUCCCAACCCUCAGGCGCUGCCGCAAUAACCAGCUCCUGCAAUAACCAGCGUGGCCGGAUCCAGCCCAGCCCCGUGGAGGAUUGAACAGAGCCGAGGAAACGCGGGGACUCGGCCACUCUCCGAACCCCUGGGAGCAUCACCCUGCUCCCUUUUCCCGCAGGGCAAGUGGCUGUGCCCCGGGGGACGGGGUGGCACCAGGAGCGGGAGGAUGCUCCGACGGGGAACGGCAUUCCCGACCAUACCCUGACUCCGGGAGCUGGCGCCUCGGUGGUCCCAGGGGCCCGGCCGAGCAAGCCCCGAAGUGCCAAGUGAUGUUUGCCGCUCCCCUGGCCCGGGCAGCGUGCCUGUUCCUGCCUUCCCUGCCCCAAAACCCUUUCCCUGCCUUCCACCUUCUCAAUCUCGGCCUUUUCAUUUGCAUUUGUGCCCUGUGGAUCCCGCUGUACCCCUGGGGUACAGCGAGCAAGCUGUCCCACGGUAUCACGGGACCUUAAAGCUGAUGGCAACCAGGAAUAAAAAGAAAACUUAUUCAAGGGCAUAGUUACCCAGUGAGUAAAAAACAACAGUGUUGGUU